AUACUAUUUUAAUUUCUAAAUGUUUUAGGCAUUGUAAGUCCUUUUUGACACUCCAUUGUACUGACAAAUACUAAAAAAGGGAGUAGGAAAGAGCACACAUUAUUUCAUCCACUUGUAAAACAUGAUGAUAAGAGUAGGAAAUGGUGCCCAAUCAAUCUGUUCUUUAUGUAGCAUUUUCAUUUGGAGGCCUGUUUUGGAAUUGUCUUUCUGUGAGAACAGGUAACAGUUAGGACCUAGUGGUGUUUACCACCAUGAUACUGAAGAAACUAGGCAUCCCUCUAAGUAAGUCAACAUUUUAACCUUCUUUUUUUCUUCUUCUCAUAUAUAUUACUAGUUCUAAUCCAGCAUGUGCCUAGUGAGUGAUUUACUCCCAGGAAACUUUCAACUAGCACACUAGUAAUUCACAUUUGUCCAGAGUUGUCACUAUACAAAAUGUUCAUGGCAGACACUCUUGCUUAGCUUACCCAGUUCCUUCUCUCCCUUAUAGAAGUUCUCUGCCACUUAUAGAGGCUGAAAAGCCACAUCCUUUGCAACCUCCCCUGCUUGGGGGUUCAGGGGUGGUCAUGUCAUCCAGUUCUGUACUAUAACACAUAUGUGAAAGUCUGCUGAGAGAGUUCUAAGAAGAGGGAAAUAGAAAAACCCAAUGCAUCCUUGUCCUUUCUUCCUUCAGAGGACUUGGGAAUGACAUCUAGAGAUUCAGCAGCUAUGUUGUGACCACGAAGCAAUUAGCCAACUUGCUGAGGAAGCUGGAAUAGAAAGAUAAAAGGAUCUUAAGUCAUUGAUGAUGUCAUGGAGCUCUGUACCUGCCUACCUACCUGUGAGAAAGGGAUGAACUUUUGUUUGUUUAAGAUGGAAAAUUGAAGGUGGAAGAGUUGAACCAGCUACUAAGAGUCAAGCCCGCCCUUCCAACUGAGCAUCAUCGGAUCUCCCCUGCCUCCUUCUGCCCUCAGAUCCCAGGGGACAUUUGGACACAGAGACAGAUGUGCACAGAGGGAGAGACGUAAACACACACAGGGCGAGGACGGCCACGGGACUGGAGCAGCGCAGCUACAAGCCAGCGAAUGCCAAGGAAAGCUGGCAAACACCAAACGCCAUGAGAGACAGGGAAGGAUUCUCCCCGGGAGCCAUCCAGGAGUGCACGGCCCUGCUGACGCCUGAUUUUGGACUUCUAGCCACCAGAACUGUGAGACGAGAAAUUUCUAUUUUAAGCCGCCUAGUCUUUGCUAUUUUGUUAUAGCCAUCCUAGGAAAUUAAUGUGCCGCUGAAUAAGAAUAUUGAUUUGCCACUGUUUGAAUAAAUAUUCAGCAAAGAAAAAGCCUCAGACCUAGAAAGAUUUAUGUAAUUUCCCAAGGUAUGUAACUACUUAAUAGAAAGAAGGCCUGGGAACCAGGUCUGCUAGUUGCUGUCAAAACUUUUUCCAAGUUAGGACCUUGCUUCCCAAGAACAG